CUCUGGCUUCCUGUUUACGCGCACUGGAGCGAAACUCUGCCGAGCAUUUGUCGACGUUGGGACUGAAAGAAAGAGGUUGCAAUGAAAAUGCAAUUUCCAGACACGUUAACAGGUGCGAAAUGAGACGUUUGGUGAACAAAUGUCAUGUUUAAAGCAGAAAACUGUAUUUAUGCAGCUCAGGAAGCGGAUCGGAGAAAGAAAUCCUUCUGAAGAGGGGAAUGUUUUAUGUCUUUAGUGAAUCCAGGGCUGUGGAUCGUUCAUCACAAAAUUAUUCCAACCAUGAAGCAGAUUCCUUCCAACAGCACGG